UACGGAGGGUGCGAGCGUUGUCCGGAAUCACUGGGCGUAAAGGGCGCGUAGGCGGCGUGUCGCGUCGGGAGUGAAAGCCCGUUGCUUAACGGCGGGUUGGCUUUCGGUACGGGCAUGCUGGAGUGCGGCAGGGGAGACUGGAAUUCCUGGUGUAGCGGUGGAAUGCGCAGAUAUCAGGAGGAACACCGGUGGCGAAGGCGGGUCUCUGGGCCGUUACUGACGCUGAGGAGCGAAAGCGUGGGGAGCGAACAGG
rnacentral:rRNA from 1 species